CACGUAGGGGGCAAGCGUUGUCCGGAUUUAUUGGGCGUAAAGAGCUCGUAGGCUGUUCGAUAAGUCGGGUGUGAAACCUCCAGGCUCAACCUGGAGACGCCACCCGAUACUGUCAUGACUAGAGUCCGGUAGGGGAGCGUGGAAUUCCCGGUGUAGUGGUGAAAUGCGUAGAUAUCGGGAGGAACACCAGUGGCGAAGGCGGCUUCCUGGCCUGGUUCUUGACGCUGAGGCGCGAAAGCUAGGGGAGCAAACGGGG
rnacentral:rRNA from 1 species